rnacentral:rRNA from 1 species
UACGUAGGGUGCAAGCGUUAAUCGGAAUUACUGGGCGUAAAGCGUGCGCAGGCGGUGAUGUAAGACAGAUGUGAAAUCCCCGGGCUCAACCUGGGAACUGCAUUUGUGACUGCAUCGCUGGAGUGCGGCAGAGGGGAUGGAAUUCCGCGUGUAGCAGUGAAAUGCGUAGAUAUGCGGAGGAACACCGAUGGCGAAGGCAAUCCCCUGGGCCUGCACUGACGCUCAUGCACGAAAGCGUGGGGAGCAAACAGGA